UGGGACAGAAUAUAGAUGAAGGUCCCCUGU
rnacentral:piRNA from 1 species